rnacentral:rRNA from 1 species
GACGAACGCUGGCGGCGUGCUUAACACAUGCAAGUCGAACGGAAAGGCCCUGCUUUUGUGGGGUGCUCGAGUGGCGAACGGGUGAGUAACACGUGAGUAACCUGCCCUUGACUUUGGGAUAACUUCAGGAAACUGGGGCUAAUACCGGAUAGGAGCUCCUGCUGCAUGGUGGGGGUUGGAAAGUUUCGGCGGUUGGGGAUGGACUCGCGGCUUAUCAGCUUGUUGGUGGGGUAGUGGCUUACCAAGGCUUUGACGGGUAGCCGGCCUGAGAGGGUGACCGGCCACAUUGGGACUGAGAUACGGCCCAGACUCCUACGGGAGGCAGCAGUGGGGAAUAUUGCACAAUGGGCGGGAGCCUGAUGCAGCAACGCCGCGUGCGGGAUGACGGCCUUCGGGUUGUAAACCGCUUUCGCCUGUGACGAAGCGUGAGUGAAGGUAAUGGGUAAAGAAGCACCGGCUAACUACGUG